UACGUAGGGUGCAAGCGUUAAUCGGAAUUACUGGGCGUAAAGCGUGCGCAGGCGGUAAUGUAAGACAGUUGUGAAAUCCCCGGGCUCAACCUGGGAACUGCAUCUGUGACUGCAUUGCUGGAGUACGGUAGAGGGGGAUGGAAUUCCGCGUGUAGCAGUGAAAUGCGUAGAUAUCUGGAGGAACACCGGUGGCGAAGGCGGCAUCCUGGACCGAUAUUGACGCUGAUGCGCGAAAGCCAGGGGAGCAAACGGG
rnacentral:rRNA from 1 species